UGCUGCGGAGUACACUUCACCUGCUGCGAAGUACUACUCACUCCUUCUGGAUUUACCUUAUUCAACAUGGCAGAUUCAUCAAAGGUAACAUCCCUACUGAUUAUCGUCUUCUUUGGCUCUAGACACCACAAACGAUAUCCCUUAACACCAGCAUUGAAGCCCAUGAAUAGAGCCUUCUUUGCUCUUGGAUCUAACUUUGAU
rnacentral:lncRNA from 1 species